rnacentral:rRNA from 1 species
UCCAGACUCCUACGGGAGGCAGCAGUGGGGGAUAUUGCACAAUGGGGGAAACCCUGAUGCGGCGACGCCGCGUGAGUGAAGAAGUAUUUCAGUAUGUAAAGCUCUAUCAGCAGGGAAGAAAAAAGACGGUACCUGACUAAGAAGCCCCGGCUAACUACGUGCCAGCAGCCGCGGUAAUACGUAGGGGGCAAGCGUUAUCCGGAUUUACUGGGUGUAAAGGGAGCGUAGACGGCAAUACAAGUCGGAAGUGAAAUACCCGGGCUUAACCUGGGAACUGCUUUGGAAACUGUAUGGCUGGAGUGCUGGAGAGGUAAGCGGAAUUCCUAGUGUAGCGGUGAAAUGCGUAGAUAUUAGGAGGAACACCAGUGGCGAAGGCGGCUUACUGGACAGUAACUGACGUUGAGGCUCGAAAGCGUGGGGAGCAAACAGGAUUAGAUACCCCGGUAU